rnacentral:lncRNA from 1 species
UACAUACGACUUAAACCCGGAAAAUCUUGAAGGUUCAAUAUCAUAUCUUCACGUUAUAUAAUCUGUUUCUUUCUUGAUAUGUCUUCUGUAAAAUAUAUAUUGUAUAAAUUUUAUUGGGUUUUUAGAUGGUUAGGGGGUGAAUCGAGCAGAAGAGUGGUUAUUCUAUACACCAAGAGAUAGAGAAAAUGAAAUUUAGAACAUUUGGAAUGGAACUGCUAUUGAUGGAUAUUGGCCAGUAAUAGGGGACGAUGGAACUAUCGUUUAUAAUGAUGAAACUCGUGGAUUUUGAAGGACUUUAGAAUUCUACAAGGAAACCCACCUUGAGGUGACAAGACUUCUUGGAUCGUGCAUGAAAUUAAAGCGAAUGAUGAUCAACAAAGUGUCGCAGUCUUGCAGAUGAUAGUAACUUAUUAGAUGUUUGCUUUGCAAGUUUUCGUAGUAUGUUGAUAAGACAUAUAAUUACACAUACGGUGGAUUUUUUUCCUUUCUUGUAGUUGGACGAUUGGAUUGCGUAUAAUAUUCUACGAGGAGAACAGAUGGAAGGGUGAGACAUGGUCGAGUGACGUAGAUGAUGAUUUAUGGGUUGAUGAUUUGGAGGACAAGUUAAUGGAGGUGACGACAAGUAUAUGCUAAAUGAGUGGUCGAGGUAGAUUUUCAUUCUACUAGAGAAGUACGAUCUUUGUUGAAAAUGUUAGAAGAUAAACGUGUAUGAGGAGGAGUUUUCUCCCUCAUCAAUGUUCAAUUUCUAAAGAAUUUUGUAUAAUAUUUUCUGCCUGUCUUACAAUUUCAAAGAUUCAUUUAUACCAGUGGCACGACCACAACUUUUCAUAAGUGAAUAAUGACAAGACUUGAAUCCACGACCUUCAUCUUGAUCUUGCUUUUUUCCCACUAUUUCUUGUUCAAGAAUGUUUUCAAUAGUUAUGGACUGAUCAUCAGAUGUCUGAUCUUGAAACUCUGGAAGAAGAAUCUUCUCAAUUGCUUCUCGGACGAGCUCUAUCUGAUCUCGAAUUUCCGAAUCAUUUUUUCGGCCACUAUAUCUGAAUCAUUAAAACCUGAUGCCACAUGCUGAUAUGUCUCUCUUUCUUUAUUGAACUGAGGCAGUGAGACCUGCAUUCUUCAGAAUCGGGGAAUCUGAUGUGUAAUUUCAACUUUCAUGACUUCUCGAGCUUCAGAUUCUCCGAUAUUGGUAAAUCCAAUAGCAAACUCUUGUUCUAACUCGAAGCUAGACAACUGAAGCUGAUGACAUCAUACUCGAAAAAGCUUGCUCUUCUGCAAGAUUAUUUCUGAUUUAGUUGAGACUCUCCCGAUAACUUUUCUCCGGGUACGUGGUUUCAACAAAAUGCCAUUUCAACAAGCACUGAUUCUUGAAUGCUACCACAUCUCCAAAUAUCCAAGUUUUUGGUUUAAAAUUGGUCUCUUCACACGAUUCCAUGACCAUAUGGCUAUCCUUGAGACAUUAGUUUCUCAAGAACUGAAAUUGGAAGGCAGGUUAUUUGGUGAUGCACUGAUCCUGAAAAGGUAAUCUGAACCACUAAAUUUUGGGGCUGUAAUUGGCCCACUAAAGAAUCUAAGUCCAAGUAGGGGUUGGGCAUGUUUUCCUUGAAUAUCGAGCAAUCUAAAGGAUACACGUUUGGUAAAAACGUUACAAUCGUAUAAAUUGUAGGAAUCCACAAAGUGUAUAGACAAAAAUUCACAUAUUUGUGGAUCCUGCGACUUAUAAACUAAAUAAUGUUAUUCAUAAUCGCCCACUUUCGAUAAUUGCCCUACUUGACAAUUUGUUAUUUCCUGAAUUGAGUAUUUGUAUAAAAAUUAUACGAA